UACGAAGGGGGCUAGCGUUGUUCGGAAUUACUGGGCGUAAAGCGCACGUAGGCGGAUUGUUAAGUCAGGGGUGAAAUCCCAGAGCUCAACUCUGGAACUGCCUUUGAUACUGGCAAUCUAGAGUCCGGAAGAGGUUAGUGGAAUUCCCAGUGUAGAGGUGAAAUUCGUAGAUAUUGGGAAGAACACCAGUGGCGAAGGCGGCUAACUGGUCCGGUACUGACGCUGAGGUGCGAAAGCGUGGGGAGCAAACAGG
rnacentral:rRNA from 1 species